rnacentral:rRNA from 1 species
GACAGAGGUGCCGAGCGUUAGGCGGAAUCACUGGGCUUAAAGCGUGUGUAGGCGGACUUCUAAGUGCCUUGUGAAAUCCCACGGCUCAACCGUGGAACUGCUGGGCAUACUGGGAGUCUUGAGCCAGCUAGGGGCUACCGGAACAAAUGGUGGAGCGGUGAAAUGCGUAGAUAUCAUUUGGAACGCCAAUGGUGAAAACAGGUAGCUGGGGCUGUGCUGACGCUGAGACACGAAAGCCAGGGGAGCGAACGGG